AGCCUAGUAGCUCAACUGGUAGAGCGUACGUUGUGCAAAAGCGUAGGCGGUGUUCAUGAGUGGGUUCGAAUUCCACCGAGGCUA
rnacentral:tRNA from 1 species